UCCCAGGUUGCUCAGUGGUAGAGAAUCUGCCUGCCAAUGCGGGAGAGCCGGGUUCAAUCCCUGAUCUGGGAA
rfam:Ovis aries breed Texel chromosome 5, whole genome shotgun sequence.